rnacentral:rRNA from 1 species
AUUGAACGCUGGCGGCAUGCUUUACACAUGCAAGUCGAACGGUAACAGGUUAAGCUGACGAGUGGCGAACGGGUGAGUAAUGCAUCGGAACGUGCCCGGUCGUGGGGGAUAACGCAGCGAAAGCUGCGCUAAUACCGCAUACGAUCUGAGGAUGAAAGCGGGGGACCGUAAGGCCUCGCGCGAUCGGGGCGGCCGAUGUCAGAUUAGGUAGUUGGUGGGGUAAAGGCUAACCAAGCCAACGAUCUGUAGCUGGUCCGAGAGGACGACCAGCCACACUGGGACUGAGACACGGCCCAGACUCCUACGGGAGGCAGCAGUGGGGAAUUUUGGACAAUGGGCGAAAGCCUGAUCCAGCAAUGCCGCGUGCAGGAAGAAGGCCUUCGGGUUGUAAACUGCUUUUGUACGGAGCGAAAAGGUCUCCUCUAAUACAGGGGGCUCAUGACGGUACCGUAAGAAUAAGCACCGGCUAACUACGUGCCAGCAGCCGCCGUAA